GUGGCUCAGUGGUAGAAUGCUCGCCUGCCACGCGGGCGGCCCGUGUUCAAUUCCCGGCCA
rnacentral:tRNA from 1 species